CAGGAGCUCCCGCUCAGGUCUUACCUUUGUUUUGGUCCAAGAACUCUUCAGUGAAGAUGGGGACGUCAAAGGUGGAAAAGCCGUCAUAGUCCCCACCCUGAACCACAGGACAAGCCAACCCUACUCAUCCUGCGGCAGGCGCGCCUGGGACUCCCCCAACCCCCCGAGCCCCUGUGCCUCCCAUCUCAGCCCUGCCCACUCACAUCUGGUUAUGCGUCUCUGGACCCCACGGGGCUACCUGCUUUCCCGUCCACAGAUGUGUUCCCAAGCUGCUAGAACAAUACCCACAGGAGCUACUCAGUACAUACUCAUGGACUAAAUGAAUGAAUGCAUCCUGUCCAUUUCUCAGAGAGGCCAGCUCAGCACUGACGAAGUCGAACAGGCCCUGGAAUCUUGACAGACCCAGAUUCCAGCCCCAGCUGUGUUGCUUCAUCCACCGUGUGGCCUCCCACACCUCCCUUGCCUCUGUCUCUGCUCCGUUAAAACAAUCUGGGUUGGAGUCCAAGCUGGAACGCAGGGGAAGACCCGCCCACCCCAUCCCGCCUCUUUGUCUUGAUUGACAAGGCGGUUACCCUCUAGAAGUUGCCCUCCUGCUUGCGGAGUCCCACACGAGGAAUUUAGGGCUCUUCCUGCACACCCAAAAUAAGUGAAAGGUUUUGAGGUUGAUUUUGAAAGCAGUGAGGAGCUCGUUGGCAUCCAGAAAAGUAGCUUGCAUGGAUAUUUUCUAGAACAAAUAAAGCUGUCUUCAG